AAUGAACGCUGGCGGCAGGCCUAACACAUGCAAGUCGAACGAGUGGCGGACGGGUGAGUCAUGUCUGGGACACUGCCUUAUGGCUGGGGAUAACUACUGGAAACGGUAGCUAAUACCGCAUACCAUCAGCUGUGCCCAGGUGGGAUUAGCUAGUUGGUGGGGUAACGGCUCACCAAGGCGACGAUCCCUAGCUGAUCUGAGAGGAUGACCAGCCACACUGGAACUGAGACACGGUCCAGACUCCUACGGGAGGCAGCAGUGGGGAAUAUUGCACAAUGGGCGCAAGCCUGAUGCAGCCAUGCCGCGUGUAUGAAGAAGGCCUUCGGGUUGUAAAGUACUUUCAGCAGGGAGGCGUUACCCGCAGAGGAAGCACCGGCUAACUCCGUGCCAGCCGCCGCGGUAAUUC
rnacentral:rRNA from 1 species